AGGGGCUAUCAAAUUACCAUGGGUUGUCAAGUCAUUAAAAUUAAUCCAUAUCCUUGGCAAGACAAUGCCCCAGGAUGAUCGCACAGUAUGUCUUUGAAAGAACAACAGCCCAUAGCAGUUGUACGGCGUUUGGACGGGUUGGCCGACUAUAUGUCGGUAUUCGACUGCUAGGACAUCGGGUGACGACUCGAAAACACCAUCGACUGACCUGGUGCCU
rnacentral:lncRNA from 1 species